CCCGCGUCGCCUCUCAGGAAAUUCAUGAGCAAGGUCUCCGCCAUGUCGUCGGCGUUGUGACCUGGUGGGGAGAGACGGGAGCGGACAACACAGGAGAAAAAAGGACCAUCUAAUGGGGAUUCUCAAGAGAGCUGUAGACACAAGUGCCUCUGGGAAUACAGAUCACCAGGUUUAGAAAGACCGGAAAGAAAGUAAGUGCAUACAAACACACCAGUCGCCGUACAAUUUAAAUGGAAACCAUGUUUAUUCUGCCUCUUGUCAUCUUAUACUUGACUCUGUAUAUUAAAAUACUGUUCUUCUUA